rfam:Aedes aegypti strain Liverpool supercont1.13 genomic scaffold, whole genome shotgun sequence.
GGGUUGGUGGUUCAAUGGCUACCGCUUCUGCUUCAUACGCAGAAGGUCAUGGGUUCAAUCCCCGACCCGUCCCA